UCUUGCAAUCUUUUAUGCAAAUAAAAUAUCAGUCUAAAGGCCUAUACAGACUAGGCGAUGUGCUUUAUGAGCGACAUCUCUUAGUGCAGAGGCGGCCAAAACAUCGAUCGCAAUCUACCAGUAGAUCGCAGAGCUCUCACCGGUAGAUCGCAAUCCAAUUUCCGCCUCUGCCGCCUGAGUCUGGACUGUUCCCAAUGAUGCAUUGAGCAGGUGACAUCAUGAUGUCAGCCGCUCACCCGCGCAAUGCACGAUUGGGAACGCGAUGUGAGGAGCCUGUGCGCCUGCUGGAUCCGGUAUGAUCCAGACAGUGCCGGCGGCAGCAGGACAGCAGCAGCAGCGGGAAGCGGGAGCAAGCACGGGAGCAAGAUCCAGCCAGCGGGGAGACAGCCAGCCAGCCAGCCAGCGGGGAGACAGUCAGCAGGGAUCCAGCCAGCUAAAGUCCUGCGUUGUAUCUUCCCAAGUGGCGUGGAUGUGAGGAGACACGACAUUUCACCCGAUGUUCCAUGGGCGACCUACUGGUGAUGUGGACCUGACCCUCCGCCAUGUAGCAGACAACCACCUCAGAUCUUCCGGUGUAUCCUUCCUAAGUGGUGUGGACGUGAAGAGACAGAUCCCCUGAUGUUCCCUGGGCAAUCUUACAUACAAUUCAACUGCAUUACAAAUUUUAAUAAAAACCACAGGAAACUUCUAUUUUUAAAAGUUUAU